GAUGAACGCUGGCGGCGUGCCUAAUACAUGCAAGUCGAGCGAACAGACGAGGAGCUUGCUCCUCUGACGUUAGCGGCGGACGGGUGAGUAACACGUGGAUAACCUACCUAUAAGACUGGGAUAACUUCGGGAAACCGGAGCUAAUACCGGAUAAUAUAUUGAACCGCAUGGUUCAAUAGUGAAAGACGGUUUUGCUGUCACUUAUAGAUGGAUCCGCGCCGCAUUAGCUAGUUGGUAAGGUAACGGCUUACCAAGGCAACGAUGCGUAGCCGACCUGGGAGGGUGAUCGGCCACACUGGAACUGAGACACGGUCCAGACUCCUACGGGAGGCAGCAGUAGGGAAUCUUCCGCAAUGGGCGAAAGCCUGACGGAGCAACGCCGCGUGAGUGAUGAAGGUCUUCGGAUCGUAAAACUCUGCUAUUAGGGAAGAACAAAUGUGUAAAUAACUAUGCACGUCUUGACGGUACCUAAUCAGAAAGCCACGGCUAACUACGUG
rnacentral:rRNA from 1 species